rnacentral:rRNA from 1 species
UACGAAGGGGGCUAGCGUUGCUCGGAAUUACUGGGCGUAAAGGGAGCGUAGGCGGCCAUUUAAGUCAGGGGUGAAAUCCCAGAGCUCAACUCUGGAACUGCCUUUGAUACUGGGUGUCUUGAGUGUGAGAGAGGUAUGUGGAACUCCGAGUGUAGAGGUGAAAUUCGUAGAUAUUCGGAAGAACACCAGUGGCGAAGGCGUCAUACUGGCUCAUUACUGACGCUGAGGCUCGAAAGCGUGGGGAGCAAACAGG